GGAUGGACUGGACCUCACCUCAGCUGCUGCCAUGCUUAACAGGUGCUAAAAGCCUGGGCCUCACCUAACUUCUGUCUGUUUGACGGCAGCUGCUCCCCCCACCCCCCAUGGUUGUUGAGGGCUGGCGCUGUGUCCUUGCUUCCUCACAGGUAGCCCUGAAGUAGCUUUGAAAUGAAUGCUAAAAUACUUUGCCUCCCAAGUUUGCAAUGUUGAUUCUUUCAGGAAGCUCACAAGAUGGUGAGAGAGGCGAACGUCAAGCAGGCAACUGCAGAAAAGCAGCUGAAGGAAGCUCAAGGGAAAAUUGAUGUGCUUCAAGCCGAAGUGGCUGCGCUGAAGACACUCGUACUGUCCAGUUCUCCAACAUCGCCUACGCAGGAGCCUCUGGCGGCUGGAAAGACGCCCUUUAAAAGGGGGCACACACGGAACAAAAGUACAAGCAGUGCUAUGAGUGGCAGCCACCAGGACUUCAGUGCGAUCCAGCCAAUCGUAAAAGACUGCAGAGAGGCCGAUCUAUCGCUGUAUAAUGAGUUCAGGUCUUGGAAGGAUGA
rnacentral:lncRNA from 1 species